AGCUGGUGACCUCCAAGCUGGGCUUUGAAGAUGGAUGGAGUUUGCUAGCAUCAAAGUGGAAGGGGCAGGAGAUAGGUCAAGAAGAGGUAACUGUGGCCAGAUCACGAAGAGCCUGGCAUUUACUUGCUUCAGUUGUGUGUAGGCUGAACGGAGGCAGGGGUGGUGGGAAUGGAGAGGGAACAAGAGGUAAUUAAGGGGUAGGAGUGGGGGCUUAGUGAUUGAGUGGAUGUGGGAAGUGAGGGAGGGAGAGGAUCCAAGUCACUCUCAGGUUCACUGGACUGACACACAAGGAAGCUGUAUGACUGAAGACAGAGCCGAUCUGGGGGAACGAGAAGGUAAGGUCUAUGUUGUACAUGUGGAGUUGGCCCUCCAGGGGGGAUGUGGGCAGUUAGAAUCACACGCUAGAGGUUCUAUGUGUGAGUUUAUAGAGUUUGUCUGGAGGCAUGUGGCUGGGAUAGAACCUGGAACCCCAGCGUAUAAUAUUGAUAAUGGCUAACAUUUCACGCAUGCUUGCUGUGUAGCAGGCUGUGCUGGGCAUUUCCCAGGCAAUGUCCAAUCAGGGACUAUAUCUGCUUCGCUCAUCAUUUUACUUCUCGUAACUGGUACAUCCUGGGUACACCAUAAUGAUUUUGUUCAAUGGGGGCUCCUGUUUUGUCCUCACGACAACCCUAUGGGGCAGGUAGUAUGAGGAUCCUCGUUUUACAGGUGAGGAAAAUGAUCUAGAAAAGAUUACACUGACCAAGGUCACACACUUGUAUGUAGCAGAUCUGAGAUUUGAAAUCAGCUCUUUGUAACCAUAAAGUCGGAAGUGUUCAACCACUUUGUUGGAAUGUUAAAAUCUGCACCUAAAAAUGUACUUACAUGACCUAUGGUGAGACUCAAACCCCUUUGAGACUACCACAUCCCGAGAGGGUUUAAAAAAUCUCAGACCUCCUUUUCUAGCUUCAGAACUCUGAUGUCAGAGGACUCCUGUGGAGAUGUGCUGGAGGGGCCCACACCCCAUCAUUUAGUCUGGAAGGCCUGAGAAGUGGAUGUAGUGUGACACUGCCAACAAAUUAUCACCCAGUAAGCACCCUGAAACAACACGCAUGUCUUCUCUCAGUUUCUGUGGACUCACUGCUUUAGCUCUGUCCUAUGUUCAAGGUCUCACAAAACCACACUCCAGGUGUCAGCCGAACUGAGUUUUCAGCCAGAUGCUUGAGUGGAGAAGAGUCUGCUUCUGAGCUCAUUCUUGUUGUCCCAGGCUUCAUUUCCUCAGGAUUGUAUACCUAAGGCCUGACUUUCUGCGGGCUGUUGGCCAUGUCGAGGCAGCGGCUUCCUCAACAUGGCUGCUCACUUCGUCAAGCCUGCCAGGAGAACCUGCUAGUGUGUGCUGAUGUGGCAAAAUACUCCUUCCUGGAAGAGUCUUCUGUUUUAAGGUCUAAACAGUGGCCCGGAUUGCUGUUGAUUUUUCACAGUG